GUGGGUAGCGACAACAAUGUGUC
rnacentral:siRNA from 1 species